rnacentral:lncRNA from 1 species
ACUGGAGACUGGGGUUGCUGCAUAGGUUGCACAUGAGGCUGGGGAAGUUGUCCUAGCUGUAGAUUAGGAAUUGACCUCCUGAAUCUGCUUGGUUUUAGAAAACUUACAAUCUGCUUCUCAUAGGAACCCAAUUUCUCCUUGAAACUAGGUGUGAUGUUGUUUUUAGAGACCUGUAAGAAUGUUAUCAAGCACUCCAACAUGGCCUUGAAUACCUUCAGCUUUUCAAGCUGUUCUGACUUUGGUUGUUGCGGAAGAGAGUCAAGCUGGAAAGCAAAGUUAACAUACGCGAGAAUUAAAAAUUGCAUGAUUAGUGCAAAAUAUUAGUGAAAAAUAAUGUUUCUAUUCCAAUUCUUCUGUGUCGAUGCAUGAUUAGUGCAGAUGAUACAGUGACAGGCAAUGCUGAUGAGGAAAACAAAUUAAUACAAAAGCUCAACAAUGCAGAUGAUUUAGUGACAGGCAAUGCUGAUGAGGAAAACAAAUUAAUACAGAAGCUCAACGUGGGGAAAUUGCAAAUAAUCAUGCAUGGGCAGAUACUUCGGAAGAAAUUGCAGAGACAAUUUACCUGCUGUAACUUGGCAGCAAUUCUCUGGUACAUUUCAUUUAUUUCAGGGAAAUAAGUCUUCUUCAUAACUUUGAUCUAGGAAGUACAAAUAACCAGCAAAACAUUAUUGGCCAUACACUUGAUUUCUUCAGGUGCCGGUCAGAAAGAAACUAACACAAACAAACUUUAGGGAAUUGAUAAAUAAAAAAAUAAAAAAAAGGGCACACAACGAUAGGACCCGUUGGAAAUAAAUAAUAAAAUAAUAAUUCACCACACAACAAAUAUAGGGGAAAAAAUCGAAAGGGAGAGGUUUGCAAUAAAAAACUGUCGUGCCAGAACCAAGAAAGCAAUCCUCUUGACCUAGAAAUCUGAAUAUUUUUACCUUCAUUCAUCUUAUCAAUGAUUAAUCAUUUGUUAGUUGAUGCAUUCAUGGAACUUACAAUGCUUCCUAACUAAUCCCAACCAUAGCUGAAUCAAAUUCCUUGGACCAAUCUCAGGAGACCCUUUUCCAUUGAAAUCUUCCCAGACUAUGGCAUGCAUGAACUUCAUCUAAUGAACAGUAAAUCACAGAAAUUACCUUUUGAUAGAUCUCCUCUUGCCAAUCAGCGCCAUUUGCAUGUCCAGUCUGUGCUGUAGAAUCUAGGGAUGCUACAAAAAUUUCAAAGCGGGCAACAAAAGAUUAGAAUUCAUGUAUUUUUGUGUGUUUUCCAUAUACAAGGGUAUUUCUGUAAUUCUCACACUUGCUGAAAAUUAUGAAAUAUUGCAGGUCUCAGUUUUAUUUUCCAUGUAGUAUUUAAUUAUUCCCGUAGUAUAGCGAGCUUCAUUAGGUUUUUCCUAUUCUAGAUAGGACUAUUCGUAUUUUCCUAUAUAGGAAUACAAGUCCUUUUUGUAUUAGGAACUUCAUCUAAAUGUUAUGUAAUCAUUCAAACAGAUGGAGAGACCCUAUAAAUUCAGAAUGACAGGGUGAACAAAUGCAUGUGUGAACAAGUGCAAUGCACUGGAGGGCAUCGUGUGGUUGCAAUAGUUCCAAUAGCAGUGGCAUUACCUGGCAUUUGUCUCUGAGAAUUAGCAAACAUAGUGGAGGGAAUCCCCUGUCCCAUUGAAUUCCCCACUGAGUUCUGUGAAACACCGGGGAUACUCUGCAUGUUAGGAUUCUGGACAACAGUGUUGGGGAUAGUCUGGGUUACACCAGAGACAGGAGGCGGUGCCGCUUGUAAACCAGCAUAACUUUGAACUCCAUUAGAUGCCAUGCAAUUCUGCAUGUUCUGUGAUACCCAACUGCUGACGUGCCUGAGACUGAUCUGUGGACAAUAGGAUAGGGAGAAACAGCCCUUGAUUCUGAACUUGAGGGGGCAUACUAUAGGAUGCUAUUCAAGAUUAAAGGCAAAUGGGAAAACCAUGUCAAAGAAAAAAAGAAGGCACUGAACAAGGAAGACAAAUGAAACAUUGGCAGUUCACACAUAAAGUUAUGGGCGAAAGAAUUAAGAUGGAUUUGAUUCAAAGCAUAAAAGUGUCCUCUUGACAAUUUUCGGGUUGGGGGAAGACGAGGCAGCUGAAAACAAAAAUAAUAUGAAAAUUUUUAGGGUGGGGGGAAAAAAAGGAGGAGGCAGAAAACGAAAAUAAUCUGUAAUAUUCUUGCCUAACAUUCAUCAAUUACUCAACUUUUUAUUAAAGCAUGCUAAACACAGCAAUAAAAUGUAAAAGAGUUUGAUAACAAUGCGACAAACAAAACAAAAGGUAAGAUGUUUAGAAAUUCAAUGCACGGCAACAUUAUUUUAUACGAAAAAAAGAUCAAAUACUUUCUCCGGGAAGAAAAGCAAGAAAGUGACGUCUUAUCUCCUAAACAGGAAAAUCUUUAAAAUCUAUCAUCUCAAUCAUAAAAUAUAAAAUAGCCAUGCAUCACAGUCCUUGUUCCUUAACAAGUUAAAGAUGAAACCCUUCACAUGCAUUACAGAAUUAGCAUAGUGGAGGUGAUGAUGGGAUUUUUCCAGCAAGGCGAUAUACAUAGCAAUAUGCAGCAAUAAAAUGUAAAAGAGUUUCAUAACAAUGCGAGAAGAAAAACAAAAGGUAAGAUGUUUAGAAAUUCAAUCCUCGGCUGCGUUAUUACCUGUUGGAUCCAUGGGGGCAGUGGGCAUGGCAUUUUGAGACCUGAUCUCCAUCGAAAGCAUCUCCAGAGAUAUUUUACGCAGAUAAUCAGACUGAAAUCAGAUAUUAAUACAAAACAUUAGAUCUCAGAGCAAUCCAUGUUACAAAAGGAGGGAAAUGGAUAUAUGCUCUAUCAUUUCAUCUUCUGUGAGGAUAUCCUUCUGUUUCCUCUCUUUUUAUUUAAUUAUUUAUGCAUUGAUUCACUAUUUGCUUUUUGCACACUUCCCUUGCACUUGAACUUGGUUACUCUAAAUAAAACACUUGUCAAGAGAAUUAACAAAAAGAUGCGAACUCUCAAUCAGCCUUGCAUAUAGAAUGAACGGUGAGGAAGUGUAGGCACACUACACACACAUUUGUACAUGCAUAAAUGCAUGUGUAUAUUCAUGUCUAAAGAAUAUCAUAAUUAUUGACCCUCGCAUUAGGCAAAUACCUGAUUGGUGGCGGUAGUGUAAAUCUUUUCCUCAACACGUAUGGCAAAUUUCUUGAGUUCUUGUAAUGCCUCUUGACCAGAAAACAGAAGAUGCCUCUUUAAUGUCUCCAUUCUGUACAUGCAAAUCAUUACAUUUUAUUUUUAAUGACUAGGCAAGUAUAUAAAAGUUAGCAGCAGCAAACAAGAACCCUGAACUCAUAAACCACACCAGUAUUAGAAAUGUGUGGAAUCAUUAGCAAAAAGUAAAAACAAAUAAUGAGAUAAGCAAGAGUUGGUCAAGUAAUAUAAGACAUCAAAAUACAUAAACAUCCUUUCCCUGUAUUAUUCCAGAGGUACAGAGUAUAGGAGAUUACUUUAAAAAAUGUAGCGUCGAGCUUCAUGGUUAAUUUUCUUGAACUAGAAGAACCUUUCAUUUAUGGCUAUGUUCCAAGAUAUAUAAGUGAAUUAGUUGAAAACCAGGGGAGUCUAUGUGAAAACAUUACAAUAGCAUUUAUUCUGAGUAAGAACACUUCUAUGCAUGUGCUGUAAUUGACACAAGAGGUCAUCAUCGAAAGAAGAGAUUACACAAGAAGUUCCAACAAAAAUUACUUCCCAGCAUUUAAGUUUGCUUCUUGUGAGAAACACAUGAGAAGAUGAAAAAAAAAAAAACAAAAAAAGAGGCGUGUGCUACAUGAGGUUGCCUCAUGGCAAUCCUGCUGAUUUUAAUUAACCUUUUUCCCUUCUCCUUUUCUUUCAUAUAAAUAAAAAAUUUGCUAUUUUGCAGCACUUGCACAUAUUAGAAAACAACUACUUACAUUUUGUCGACUAUUCUUUUCCAUGAGUCAGGCUGCAAUUGAAUUCUCCAAUCACCCGUAUCCAUGACAGGUUCUCCGCCUGGGACAGUGGGCCAACCAAAAAGAAGAAAAAAAUCAUAUUGCAAGUAAAAAUAGACCCUAAAAAGAAAGUCAGGAACGACAAGAAGAGUAAAAGCACAUCAAGAUCAUGAAAAAUGGAAUAUCAGUUUAUUCAGACUUGAAUAGAUUUAAAAAGAACUUCCGUCUAAUAUCAUGUACUUUAUUAAAGAAUUCAGCCAAAAUAUGGAUGCAUAACAAAUAUACACAACCAUUCAGGACAAGGUGCAAGGAUCCUGGGUAUUCAGCCAUUCUAAGCAAAGAUUUGGACCUGAAUCUUCAUGGUGCUUCUAAACCAAAGAAGCAUUCCCUUUUAAGCAAAUACUUACUGUCAAACCUCCUGUUCAUGUUCUUGUUAUUUAUGUAUAUAUUCACUUCUCUGAAAGAAUAAAUAUUGUAGGGAGCAAGUAGUGUAAAUAGAAAGAGGAAAAUACCACAUCCCCAAAAGAAUAAAGAAAUAAGAAGAAAACAAAACAAAGUCAUAAAACGAGGCAUUUCAAUCCCCGAAGAAUACCAGCAGACUAAAUACCACAGCACAAAUAGAAGAUGAAGAGGCCAGAAACACUAAACCAUCCCAAAGAGAUUGUCUAGGAUGUUUUAAUCUAGGAAGAAGAAGAAGAAAACAACGAGCAUUAACAAUGAAUAUUUCAUGUUAUCAUCAACUCUAAAGAGCAGACUGAUAAGAAUCAACUUAACAAAUUUACAGGCACAUCUUUCUUUGAAUAGACAACACAAUAACCCUGACCAUACUGAAUGCUCCACCCACAGUAGAAUCGGCUGAUUGCGCCUUUCUUCGUGUUGCGUUCACGAGCAGUGAUUUCAUCGAUCCGAUUAUAUAUCUUUUUAAUUUACUUAUUAAAAUCGAAUUUCUCUCUCUGGAUAGUGAUUUCAAUUAAAUAAAUGAAAAUGCAGACGUAUAUCUUUUUUUAAAAUAAAAAACAUGAUAGAAAAGGAAGCACCUGGUGGAGAUUUGAAGCCUUAUUGGUUGAUGUGGCGGCGGUUUCCUAGAGCGGAGGAGGGAAAGAAAGAGAGCUCAGGUGGGGAGAGGUGAGGAAUGUUGGAACAAAGUGAACAGAACUUGACAGAUGACUUUAUUCUUUUCCAGAUUCGCUAACAAACUAAAAGAUAUGCAUUCUUGUGCUGCUUCACUGUUCACAACUAACAAACUAAAACUAUAUAUAUAUAUAUAUAUAUAUAUAUAUAUAUAUAUAUAUAUAUAUAUAUUGGAGCAGUUUAAUGACAGUUCAGCCCUUAAUACAAAGAGUUGUAAUGGCAGCAGGGGAGGGGUGGGGUUGUCUUUUUACUGGGGUACAUUUGGCAUUGAAAAGAUGGUUGAGGAGAAAAUUGUCAGUAUAAGUUUUAGUGGGGAUGCAAGCCAUGGGAAGCGAGCACCUGUCACUAGUGUUGCCCGGGCAAGGACAGCUGGCACUUCUGCUGCCCGACCCUUCCACGGGGCAGACCAAGCGCCACAUGGUGCAUGGGCGCCCCUGCCCUUGCGCGGGGCAGACCCGGGUGCCACUUGGCGCUGGGGCGGCUCCAGGACACAGGGCGGACACUAGCACCACCUGGCGCUUGAGUCUUGGCAAAAGGCCUAAUUAGCUAUGGCUGCUCUAGCGCCACAUGGCACUUGGGAAAAGGUGGGUGUGGACACUUCCAUGCCCAACCCCAAAGCAAGUUGGGUAUGGACGCGUUCAAGCCCAACCCCAAGUUGGGAAAGUGUUCAAAUCAAAAAUAGUAUUAUUUGUGUUAUAAAUAUUAUUAUUUUUAUUAUAACUCAAAGUAUUGAUAUAAAAAUUAUUAUUAUUUGUGUUGUAAUCAUCCUUGAAAUUCUUAAUAUAACUAUUUAUGUUAUAAAUAUUAUUAUUUUUAUUAUAAUUAAUAGUGUGAAUAUUAAAAAUAUUAUCAUUGGUGUUAUAAAUAUUAUUAUUAUUAUUAUUAUUAUUAUUGAUAUUAUUAAUAAAAUAAUUACUAAAUGUGAAAAACAAUUAUUAGUAAUAUUAAAAAAAUUAUUUGUGUUAUAAUUAUUUUUAUUUUUAUUAUGGUUAAAAGUAUUAAUGAUAAAAAUAGUAUCAUUUUUUAUUAUGAUUAAAAGUAUUAAUAUUAAAAAUAGUAUGAUUUGUAUUUUAAUUAUUUUUAUUUUUAUUUUUAUUAUAAUUACAAGUCUGGGCGCGUCCACUCCCAACCCGACAUUGGGCCUGGACGCGUCCACGCGCAACGCCGAGUUGGGUCUGGACGCGUCCACGCGCAACCCCGAGUUGGGCAUGGAUGCUUCCUCGUCCACACCCAAGGCGGGUGUGGAGGCGUCCACGCCCAACCCCAAAUUGGGGUGAACAUGUCCACGCCCACCCCUAAGUUGGGCCUGGACGCGUCCGCGUCCACCCAUAUGUGUUAAUAUAAUAAUGUGUUAUAAAUAUUAUUUUUUCUCUUAUAAUUCAAAGUGUUCAUAUCAAAAAUAAUAUUAUUUGUGUUAUAAAUAUUAUUAUUUUUAUUAUAACUCAAAGUAUUGAUAUAAAAAAUAUUAUUAUGUGUUGUAAUCAUCCUUGAAAUUCUUAAUAUAAUUAUUUAUGUUUUAAAUAUUAUUAUUUUUAUUAUAAUUUUGAAUAUUCAUAUAAAAAAUAGUAUUAUUUGUGUUAUAAAUAUUAUUAUUUUUAUUAUAAUUAAUAUUAUUAAUAAAUUUAAAAAAUAUUAUUUUUUAUAUUAUAAAUUUUUAUAGUAGUUUUUUAUAAAAAUAAAAAUAAACUCGCUAUGUAACAUUGGCAUCCAACUAGUAUAAAACUAAGAGUGCUCAUUAAAUUUUUUUGCGUACAGUGUGUGAAUCCAUCCUGUGGCUUCACAGUCUUUACCGUGCUCCCUCUCUGUUUUUCCCGUUUCUUCUCGCGCGGUGGGUGUUCCCGUGCUUUCUUCUCGGCUGCUGAGGCUCCCUAGCGUCUUUCCAUCGACUUUGUCUGGUGCAUGUUCAGAUUGAGGUGGUUUGGCUGGUGCUAGGCGCGCGAGGAGAUGUCAGCCGACGGGUAAUCACCUUCAUCGGCUGGGAUGGCUUCAUUGAAGCUGUCCUCUUGGUCUGUGGCGGGACUUCUCAUGUAACUGAGACAAUUCUAACUUGUUUUUGUUAAUUAAAAAAAAAAUUAUUCUAAUGAGACAUUGUUUUUGUUUUUAUAAACUCUUUUCUAUUAUAUUUUUUAUCAAAAAUUUUAUAGAAAAUAUCAUAUAAAUUCUAGUUCACUGUUUAUUCUUAAUUAUGAUAUCAAAAAUAAAAUAUUGAAUAAAUCAAAAAAUAAUAUUACAAUCACACUAUUAUUAGUACCAUUGCUAAGAGCUUGAGAUUAAGAAGUUUGCUCUCCCUAUAGUUUCAGGUUCGAACCCUGUGGUUACUAAUAUGAUGGUCACUAGAGGCUUACAUGGUCGCUAACUUUAGGGCGCGUGAAAUUAGUCGAGGCGCACGCAAGCUGGUCUGGACACCCACGUCAAUUAAAAAAAACAAAUUACGAAUUGAUUAUUACCUCAAUCUAAUUUUUAUUCGAGUAUUAAUUUAUAUGCAUAUUUAUAUUACGUGGAAACUUCAUCAUUAUAGUAAAAGGGAACAAUAAUUUUAUGAACUAUUUAAGGUCCUCUAACAAUCUUAAAACAAUUUAUUUUUUAGUAUAUUUGUUCUGUGUAUAUGUAUAUAUCUUCAAGAACAAAUUGAUUAUAUAUUAACAUAUAUAGAUUAAAAAAAAAUAGUUUAAUUUUAGUAGGAAAAGUAAAGUGCAUAUAUUUUCUCUUAAAUUUCAUGACUAUGUUAAAUUUCUUGUUGUCUGUUAUCUGUGUACUUGUUGCAUUGAUUCUACGGGAAAAUAAAUUUUAUGUUGCAUGGUAUUUUCCUUCGUUGUUGUAUUGAUAUGAAAAGAACAAAAAAACAGCCGAUCGGAAAAAAAAAGUUGUAUAUCUGGAUAAUAAUUACCGGUGAAAUAAUAUAUGUUAAGUGCAAUUCUAUUUAACUGUAACUCUUUUGUUUAAGUUGCAUAGCGACAACUUUACUACGUUUCAACAACUAUAAAUAGUUAAUUUUUUUUUAAAAAAUACAUAUAUAUAGUUCUCUUUUAUAUAAGAUUAAAAAGAAAUUUUGAAUAGAUAUGAUAUAGAGAAGUUACAAUUAAUGAAAAAUCAUCAAUCAUAAUAAUUUUGAUAUAUUUGUUAACAUGGUAAGCCUAGUGGAGUUAAUGAUUUGGGUUGUGUAUUUAACGAGUUAACCUGUGGAACUCGAGUUAAUAUAAUAUAUCAUCAUCUUAAUAUUAAAAAAAAUAUCAUCGUGAUUUUUUUUCUUUAAAAUCCAAACCAUGCUUUUAUUGGUGAUUUGAAUUGCCUUAAUUUGCAUAUAUCAAGGCAACUAGAUCAAGUACAAACAAUUCCCUUGUAAAUUAAUUUUAAUAUUAUUGCUAAAUUAUGUUUUUUUACCGGUCAUAUGGAUUGACUUUGAAUCCACCACAUUAACUAUGUCAUGUUAGGGCAACUUUCAUGUUGGUUAAUUUUAAACUUGAUAUAAAUGAGGAUCGGUCACAUAAAUUUAAACUAAAUUAUUUUUGUCGAUUUUAUUUUUAAUAUUGAGAUGAUUGAGAAUUUAAUUUAAUUUUUUUUCUUUUUAGUUUGCCUUUCUAUGUGGUUUGCGAGUUUGUCGAGGUAACUCGAGUUACUCCAGUUUACGGAUUUUGUGUGGUUUUUUUAAUUGAACUUGGUUUUUUUUAUAGUAUAUUUUUUUUGUUAUAUUGUUAGAAAAACAGUUUUAGAGAAAAAAAACAUGUUAUUAAACUUUAUGAAGUAAGAAAAAUUAAAGAAUACGAGGAAAACAACCUUCAUUCAUCUUAUCAAUGAUUAAUCAUUUCUUUGUUGCUGCAAUCAUGGAUCUUACAGUGCUUCCUAACUAAUCCCAACCAUAGCUGAAUAAAAUUACUUGGACCAAUCCCAGGAGACCUUUUUCCAUUGAAAUUUUGCAAGACUAUGGCAUACAUGAACUCCAUCUAAUGAACAGUAAAUCACAGAAAUUACCUUCUGAUAGAUCUCCUCUUGCUAAUCAGCGCCUUUUGCAUGUCCAGCCUGUGCUGUAGAAUCUAGGGAUGCUACAAAAAUUUCAAUGUGGGCAACAAAAGAUUAGAAUUCAUGUAUUUUUUUGUGUUUUCCAUAUACAAGGGUAUUUCUGUAAUUUUCACACUUGCUGAAAAUUAUGGAAUAUUGCAAUUCUCAGUUUUAUUUUCCAUUUAGUAUUUUAUUAUCCCAAAGUAUAGAGAGCUUCAUUAGGUUUUUCAUAUUCUAGAUAGGACUAUCAGUAUUUUCCUACAGAGGAAUACAAGUCCUUUUUGGACUAGGAGUACUAGGAACUCCAUCUAAAGAAAGUCAGGAACGGCAAGAAGAGUAAAAGCACAUCAAGAACAUGAAAAAUGGAAUAUUAGUUUAUUCAGACUUGAAUAGACUUAAAAAGAACUUCCGUCUAAUAUCAUGUACUUUAUUAAAGAAUUCAGCCAAAUAUGGAUGCAUAACAAAUAUACACAACCAUUCAGGACAAGGUGCUAGGAUCCUGGGUAUUCGGGCAUUCUAAGCAAAGAUUUGGGCCUGAAUCUUCAUGGUGCUUCUAAACCAAAGAAGCAUUCCCUUCUAAGCAAAUACUUAUUGUCAAACCCAGGGCUUCCCCUCCUGUUCUUGUUAUUUAAGUAUACAUUUACUUCUCUGAAAGAAAAAAUAUUGUAGGGAGCAAAUAGUGUAAAUAGAAAGAGGAAAAUACAGGAAAACAAAGCAAAGUCAUAGAACGAGGCCUUUCAAUCCGCAAUGAAUAUUAACAGACUAAAUACCACAGCAAAAAUAGAAGAAUAAGAGGCCAGAAACACUAAAUCAUCCCAAAGAGAUUGUCUAGGAUGUUUUAACCUAGGAAACAGAAGAAGAAAACAACUAAAGAGCAGACUGAUAAGAAUCAACUUAACAAAUUUACAUGCACAUCUUUCUUUGAAUAGACAACACAAUAACCCUGACCAUACUAAAUGUUCCACCCACAGUAGAGUCGGCUGAUUGCGCCUUUCUACGAGUUGCGUUCACGAGAAGCGAUUUCAUCGGGUCCGAUUAUAUAUCUUUUUAAUUUACCUAUUAAAUCAAAUUUCUCUCUGGAUAAGAAUUUCAGUUAAAUAAAUGAAAACGCAGACGUAAAUUUUUAAAAUAAAAAACAUGAUAGAAAAGGAAGCACCUGGUGGAGAUUUGAAGCCCUAUUGGUUGAGGUGGCGGCGGCGGCGGUUUCCGAGAGCGGAGGAGGGAAAGAGAGAGAGCUCAUGUGGGGAGAGGUGAGGAAUGUCGGACCAAAGCGAACAAAGCUUGACAGAUGACUUUAUUCUUUUCCAGAUUCGCUAACAAACUAAAAGAAUUGUAUUCUUGUGCUGCUUCACUAUUCAUAACUAACAAACUAAAACUAAAGGAAUUAUAUAUAUAUAAUAAGAGUGCUCAUUAAAACACGGUGCACUGUGUGUGAAUCCUGUGGCUUCACGGUCUUUACCGCACUCCCUCUCUGUUUUUCACGUUUCUUCUCGCGCGGUGGGUGUUUCCGUGCUUUCUACUCGGCUGCUGAGGAUCCCUGGCGUCUUUUCAUCGACUUUGUCUGGUGCAUGUUUAGAUUGAAGCGGUUUGGCUGGUGCUAGGCGCGCGAGGAGAUGUCAGCCGAUGGGUAAUCACCGUGGCGGGCCUUCCUUUUAAUGAAAAAAUUAUUCUAACUGAGACAUUGUUUUUGUUUUUAUAAACUCUUUUCUAUUAUAUUUGUUUUAUCAAAAAAUUUAUAAAAAAUAUCAUAUAAACUCUUGAAUAAAUCAGGAAAUAAUAUUAUAAUUACACUACUAGCACUAAAGAUCAGAUAAUAAAUUAUAUAUUGACAUAGAUUGAAAAAAAUAGUUUAAUUUUAAUAGGAAAAGUAAAGUGUAUAUAUCUUCUGUUAAAUUCUAUGACUAUGUUAAAUUCCUUGUCAUCUGUUAUUUGUGCACUUGUUGCAUUGAUGCUACGAGGAAAUAAAUUUUAUGUUGCAUGGUAUUUUCCAUUGUUGUUGUGUUGAUAUAAAAUAAGAAAAUAGAAGAUUGGGAAAAAAAAGUUGCAUUAAUAUAAAUAUAAUUAGAAGGAUAUAACUAAAUUUUCAAAGGCUUGAUGUAAAUAUUAAAGUUCAAGAGAGAGAAAAGAUGAGGAGGAGAAAACAACUUUGUCACCGCUGAACCACCGUGAAAUAACAACACACGCUACACCAUUAACUACACCUUCACAUUACACGUUGAACUAUCACACGCCUCCUGAAUGAUGUGGUGGACUAUCACGUGUUAUACACAUGUCGGUCUUUUUAUUGAUUUAUUAAUAUUUCAAUACUUUAAAUUACUAAAUAGCCCCUAAGAGCAUCUAAAUAUUACCAAAAAAAUGUUAUCCCAAACCAGCUUUAGAUUUUUUUUAUUCUAAGGUUAACUUUAUCAUUUUACAAUAACAAAACAUGGAAAAGACUAAAAAAUGCCUCUUGUCAAGGUCAAUAUUUUUGAACUGUAAACCCCGGGAAAAAAAAUAAUAAAUAAAUAAAAGUGAAGAAAUUCAUGCAUAUGGUUAAAUAAAAACAUAAAUUCAGAAAUUUUUAAAUAUAAAUUUCCGGGCGAAAUAAUUCGAGACAUUAUAAUAAACCCGGUACUGUUGAGGGUUGGAUUUAAUUGAAGAGAAUGAUACACUUAAAGGAAAAUAUAGAGUAUAAAUACUCUCUCCUCACCAAAAAAAAAUAUGUAGGAACCAUAAGGAGAGAAGAUAGUGAGUUUUAUACCCAUUCUUGAGAAAUCAAGAGAGAAACACUAAAAUUUCAAGAACCCAUCCAAGAUUAAGAGCUUAUAGAUGGGAUAAACACUUGAGAGCAAAGGAUUACCAAGAAAUUGAACAAGAAGAAAAGAAAUGACGGAGUUGAAAAUCUUCAACUGGUUGAAGAUCAAAAUCUUAAUUUGUACCGGGUAAGGUAUUCUAAACAUGAUCUUAAAAAAAUUCAUUUUUAAAUUCGAUAAAGAAUUGAUGCCUUGAUAUUGAAUCAUAGGUUAGGGUUCUUAGAAAUAAAUUGGGGAAAAAGUACUUAUUGUUGAGAUUAAGUUAAUUCAUGUGUGUGGUAUGUAGUUUAUGAAAGUAUUGUGUGAAGGGGAGGGGGAGACGAAUCUGGACAGACUUGUCUCCUAACUUUCGAUGAGAUUUUGGGUAGGAGGAUGAGGGGAUUAGGAUCGGGUUCCUCAUAGAAAUUGUAGAUUUGAAUGUUAGCUAACCAAGGAAGCUGGUCUUGCUCAAUUUGGAGAUGUAGAACUCCAGUUAUGGGUUACCAACUGAGACUGAGUCGUGACUGAUUAUGUAGGGCAGUAAGACUAAUUAGUAAAUGAACAAUUUUGACUAUCUUGAAGGCAAAACUGGGUUCUACUCCCUCAGAGAACUAGUAGCCUCGUGUCUUAGCUUUCUAACGAGAUCAAUCUCACUUAAAAUGGAGUUUUAGAACUUUAGAUAUAGUUAAAAAUCUGAUGAGUGUUUAGACAGUAACAGUUGGAAAUUGGACAGUAACAGUUCAAAGUCAAACAGUAACGGUUGGAAAAGUCAAACAGUAACAGUUCAAAGUCAAACAGUAACGGUUCAAAGUCAGACAGUAACAGUUGGAAAAGUCAAACAGUAACAGUUCAAAUGUCAAACAGUAACAAUUCAAAGUCAGACAAUAACAGUUGGAAAUUGGACAGUAACAGUUCAAAGUUAGACGGUAACAGUAUACUUUCACGUGAAUACUAUAAAUAAGAAUAUAAAAGAAUUGAGUCAUUCUAACACUUGUAUAUUGAGAUACUAACUCUGAAAAUAUACAUGAUAUAUGUAUGUAUGUUAUUAUGAGGAAAUGAACAUGCAUAGAAAGUAACAUAUGAGUAAUGGAUGAAUAUGAAUUCUCUAUAAUAUCGGCUUGAAGGAAUCAUAACCAAAAAAAGAAAACUUCCUUGUGAUUCAGGAGGAGCAACCAGGAUUGGAUCUUCUGUUAGGGGAGGUCGCGAGACAGGCAAAGCAGGUGCGUGAUUUUCCCUCCUAUUUGCACUUAUACAAUUUAGAAGCCUUCUGGUGAAUGCAAUUAUAAUAAAUAUCGUGUUCAAUGUAAAUGAAACCUAGUGUAUCUACAAGAUUAGCUCCGGCUAAUGGCAUCCGUGAGAGGAUUGUCGGGAUAUGAUUUACACGAUUAGCUCCGGCUAAUGGCAUCCGUGAGAGGAUUGCUGAGAAAUGAUUUACACGAUUAGCUCCGGCUAAUGGCAUCCGUGAUAGGAUUGCCAGGAUAUGAUUUACACGAUUAGCUCCGGCUAAUGACAUCCGUGAUAGGAUUGCCGGGAAAUGAAUUACAGGAUUAAACCUUGCAAGGUCACCCAGUUUAUGCAAGUAAAUAAGAUUAUUCAAUUAAGAAUAUACAAAUGAGUGUUAAUUGGGUUUAAAAGAUUUACAAGCAAAAUAUAAGUUCUUUGUUAGAAUUCUCAUGGAUUCGAUAGAAAGCUAUUACUUCAUUCGUAUUCAUUACAUGAGCAUACAUAUAUUCUUUAUCAACAUAAUGGUAUGUUUAUUAAUGUAACAGGUCCAUCAAACAUCCAGGAAGAUCAUUAGUUUAGGACUCUACUUUGUGAAGCUUAUGUAAAUAUUAACUUAAAACAAAAGGGAAUUAACGUGUUUAUGUAGUAUACUUUUGUGCAAACCUUGAUGUAUUUAUAAAGGUUCAGCUUAACAUGUAGUAUUUUAGUUAUCUUGUAAUUAACCCUUUUGAAAUAUUUAAGAACACUUCUUAUAUUGUAAAUAUUUUCUUUGCAUGUUAGUAUUUCUUUUCCUUUAGAUUUUAUGAUAUGAUGUGUUGGACUAUGUUCAUAUUGAACUUACUCGUAGGAUAUAUAUAUAUAUAUAUAUAUAUAUAUAUAUAUAUAUAUAUAUAUAUAUAUAUAUAUAUAUAUAUAUAUUGUGUGGAUUGUAUGAGGUGUGGAAUUAUGAGGUUUGAUAUAAGGUCCGGAAUUAAGGACCUUGUGAUGAUGUGUUGAUUGAGUAAACUGAUAGUAGUCGAUAACUUGGGAUGUCCUACAUGCAAACGAAACUCUGCCGAAUUUUUGAAAAUAAAAAAAAAAUUACCCUAAAAUAAAGAGGAUAUGUUGGAAUCUUUAACAUUGAUCGAGUCGUACAGUUCGGACUAUUACAUGAACUCUUAAGGGUAUUGACCUCAUUUUACGGUGCAAAUAAAAUAGAAAAGACAAAAUAGACCCUAAACAAAAGGCCAAUUGUUUUUUUGCUUGCAAGGGCAAUGAUGUAGUUUUAGUGUGCAAAAAAAGAGCAAACCUACUAAAUUAUUCUCAAUCAAUUUACGAAUAAGCUUUAGAUCACUUGAAAAAGACAACUUUACCUCGUUAAUAAGUCAAUUGUUUUGUGUAGAUAAGGGCAAAAGGUAAAUAUAUUGUGCUAAUCCACGAUAUUUUACCUCACAGUCUAUAAUGAAUCACUUGAAUCAUUGAUCUCUUUUAAGUUUUUUUUAUAUAUAUAUAAUUCCACUUUGUUUUAAUUCAUGUUUAGAUUUUUAGCAUACAUUCUCAAACCAAAUCUCUCUUCUCUUGCACGCAUAUAAUUGUUUUUCUCACACUCUGCCAGAAAAUACCACAUCCCCAAAAGAAUAAAGAAAUAAGAAGAAAACAAAACAAAGUCAUAAAACGAGGCAUUUCAAUCCCCGAAGAAUACCAGCAGACUAAAUACCACAGCACAAAUAGAAGAUGAAGAGGCCAGAAACACUAAACCAUCCCAAAGAGAUUGUCUAGGAUGUUUUAAUCUAGGAAAAAAGAAGAAGAAAACAACGAGCAUUAACAAUGAAUAUUUCAUUUUAUCAUCAACUCUAAAGAGCAGACUGAUAAGAAUCAACUUGACAAAUUUACAGGCACAUCUUUCUUUGAAUAGACAACACAAUAACCCUGACCAUACUGAAUGCUCCACCCACAGUAGAAUCGGCUGAUUGCGCCUUUCUUCAAGUUGCGUUCACAAGAAGCGAUUUCAUCGGAUCCGAUUAUAUAUAUUUUUUAAUUUACUUAUUAAAAUCGAAUUUCUCUCUUGAAAGUAAUUUCAAUUAAAUAAAUGAAAAUGCAGAUGUAAAUUUUAAAAAACAAAAACAUAAUAGAAAAGGAAGCACCUGGGUGAGAUUUGAAGCCUUAUUGGUUGAGGUGGUGGCGGCAGUUUCUGAAAGUGGAGGAGGGAAAGAGAGAGAGCUCAGGUGGGGAGAGGUGAGGAAUGUCGGACCAAAGUGAACAGAGCUUGACGGAUGACUUUAUGCUUUUCCAGAUUUGCUAACAAACUAAAAGAAUUGUAUUCUUGUGCUGCUUCUUUCUCUGAAUGUUAAAUGCUUUUUAUUUUAUUUUGUGUCAUUUGGUAUCAUUCUUCUUUUACUAUUAGUUAAUGGAUAUUCGACCUCUUGCUCGUUUUUAAUAUUGUUGUUUGGCUCACUUGUAUAUUCUUUUUAUAGAUUUUUUGCCUGACUUAAUAUUCAAUAAGUAUGUUAAUUGAGUAUGCAUUCAAUUUGCAAAAAUAGAUACAUACAUGACUUUUAUUAAUUAAUAAGAUUGAUUACAUUAAAUAUAUUCUUAAACUUGUUUUAUUUAAAUAAAUAUAUAGAAUUAUGAUAAUUCAUAAUUUGAUGAUUAGAUAAUAUUUGUAUAAUAAGAAUACAUGAUGCAUGUAUUGAGUUCAAUGUUUUUUUAAAAGAAAUUUUUUAAUUGAUUAAUGUAUAAGUGUAUAAAUUUAUUUAGUAAAUAAUAUCUUGAUUAAUUAAUAAAUUUCAUGGUCUCAAUGAUAUUAAUUUAUAGAUGUUUAAAUGUAUAUUGUAUUAAUCUUUUAAAAAAUAUAUAAAUUUAAAUGAUAAAAUUAAAAACACUUAACUCCAUAUAAGGAAAAUAUUUAUUUUUUUAAACGACAAUACAAAAUAUAUGAUAAUACUAAUAUGUAAAUUCAAAUCUAUCUCUAAUGAGGCAUAUGUCAUUCCGGCAACAAUUGGUUUAGCCAAUUAGCUUCCAUUGGUUUAGCCAUGCAUUGCCUCUUUCAUUUCUUAACUGAUCGUUUUUAACAUUCCAUGUUAAUUUUAUUUGUAGAUGAAGCUCUCAAAUGUACUCUUGGAAUCAACAACUUAGGUUACAUGAACAUCACCCUUUUUUCUCACACUUACAUAUAAAAGAACAUUGGCAUGCUUAACUGUCUUACUAUGGCUUUGUCUAAAAUAUGAUGACACAGUGGCGACCAAACACAUCACCACUGACAUGGCCAGCCUGAGUAUUUCUGGUGAUUACAAGGAGGCAAGGACAUCUCUGGAUAAAAUGGCAAGAUUGUUUAGGACAUUCUCAUUAUCAAAAAAAAAAAAAAAACAUAAAACAAAUAUCUUAACGUUGUUCAUCUGUUUAUAGGAUUAGAGUUUGUUUAAUACUGUGUUAACAGUAUUUUUUAAGUUUUUUUUUUAAUUUUAAAAUAAAUUGAAAUAAUAUAUUUUUUAUUUUAAAAAAAUUAUUUUUAAUAUUAAUACAUGAAAAUAAAUUAAAACCACUAAAAAAUAAAUUUAAAAACAAAUUUAAAAUAUUUUUAAAACACUGACUUGUGCAUAAUGGCACUUCCGAGAGGAAAAUGAGACAUGUUGUUGACACUACUGUCACCUGAUUACAACCUAUUUGAUUAACUGAAUGCCUAGUUCAAUUCUUGAUAAAAUGUCAUUCUAUCAGAAAUUGUAUGGUUCUCCUCCUGAUUACAAUUUCUGAUAGCUUUGGAUCAGCUUUGUAUCAGAAAUUAUUUGAUUAGCUUUGGAUUUAUUUAUUUUUCCUGUUAUUGUUUCUGAUUUGGGUAUUUGAUUUGUCCUUCUUGUUUUUGUUCUUUUUUGCAGUGUUGUAAAAAAGGAAGCUUUAGAGCAAGUAAGCGAAAAAUGGGUUUUCAUCAGCUGUAGAUAUUCCAGCAAUGCAGGUAAAUAAAAUCACUUUUAAAAUUGUUGUUGUAAUUGCUUUUUUUGGAUGUACAAGUAUGUUAUGGUGUUGUGGUUGUUUUGCUGGGUAGGAAAUUAUGUUGGAGUUUCGUGCUGGUUCGAUGGAAAAAAGUUUGUUCCUGAUUCUCGAAAAGGACUUGUUCGCAUUGGAAGGGUAAACUGGUGUCUUUUGGUUUUUUUGUGUUAUAUAGAGUUCGUGCCUGUGUAAAGAUUUUUAGUUACUUCUGUUGUUUUGGUUUAUCUUAAGUACUAGAUAGUGUGUUUCUAGCAUCUUGUUUCCUGUUCGAAGUCGAAAUUUUUGAAUUGUUCCACGGUGAUGAGGGUUUGCUUCAUUUCUAGUGGCUUGAUAGGAAUUUGAAUGCUGUGGAAGAUGUAUCGUAGUUAUUAUUAUGUUUUUGAGCCUAGGGAUUUUGUUUCUCUCUUCCAACAUUGGUUUUUUAUUUCUUUUUCUGUUGUUUGUUUUGUUAAUAUUGUUUUGAGGUGAGAACUUGGUAGCUUUUUCUUGACGUGUUGAUUGACAGGAUCAUAUUAUUUUUUUCUGAAGAGGCUGUUUUUGAGAAGGUACACUUUUCUCUCUUAGUUUUUUCUUAGAUGGGAGAUAUUUGACUCUAAUAAUUGAUUGUAAUAUCAUAUAUUCAUAAUUCUUUGGGUUAUUCAGGUUAAUCAAGCAUUGGGAAGAGUUUACAUCUUGAAAUUCAAUAUAGGUGAUCGAAAGUUUUUCAUUUAGAUGCAGUUCAGGUUCAUUUUCUAUGUUUUUCACUCUCUUAUGUGUAACAUUGACUCAGCUGUUAGUUGCAUGAUUUUGGAAAAUUGUCUAACAUGUUUGCAGGAGCCAAAAGCUAAAGAUGAUUCACAAUUGUGUAGCUCUAUCAACUAUUAUAUUAAUCGUCCAUUUGGUAAAUACUUUUGUGUUUUGAGUCCUUUGUUAGCCAUGCUACUUUUGUGUUUUUUUUUAUCUUGCAUCUGCAUUUAUCUCCUCUCAUCUCCACAAUUUCAUAAAGAAAACCUCUAUUUAACAGAAAGAUCAUAUUAGACUAAUUGGAUUUCCUGUUUAUUUAUUUUAGUUACACACUCCGUAUGUGUGAAUUGGUCUUCCUAAAAUUUUACUAACCAGUUUUACUCCUUCAAACUAAUGACCUGGCUUAUAACUUCAGCACUCAUUCAAGAGUGAAGUUUUUCCAUCAGCAACGUCGCUGCUUUAUCUUAUUGCCUGGCAGAGUUCCUUGAUGAAGAAGAGCCUGAUGCUUCUAUUCCUUUCCAAGUUUUUGAAGACGUGCUUAAAGAUAAUAUCUCAUCAAGCUAUAUUUAUUAUAACAAAUAAGCAUACUUAAAGAUGAUACUUCAACUCUAAGAGUUGAUAUAGCAAGAGUGAGUAAGGAUAUAGGGCUAAGUAAUUUUUUGUUCUUUGAGACUAAGAGUCUGUGGAGCAGAAUGAGCCUCCCUUCUCUCCUUCUGGUCAAUCAUCUUGGAGAGCCUAUGUUCUUGCAUUGGAGAGCCUAUGUUCUUGCCUUGAUGAAGACUCCUAUCUUAUUUAUUCAAGAAAUAUCAAGAAAUUUUCCAAAAUCAUUUCUUGACAAAAACAUCUCAACCACCUUAGCCCAUGUCAAAUCCUUCAUCCCCUUAUGCUCUUGCACAGACUUGCCCUCGGGGUAAAUUUUAAAACUUGGGGCAUCUUUUAUAUGGAAAUUUAGAUUCAUAAAUUGGUGUUUGUCCAUGUAUAUACAAGUUUAAUGCUUGUAAUUCAUUGUAAAAUAACUUCAAAAAGGUUAAGGAGCACUUUUAUUAUCAAAAAGAAAUGGCCCAGUAUUACGUGGCCAUUUUCUUUUAUUCUGAUGAGAUUUUUGCUCAUAGCUCUCAAGACUGGAAACUUAGUUGUCCCAGACCUUGGUGCAGAAGUAAUGAAUGAUGUAAACUCUUCAUCAGAACCAGUGAAAUUGGAAGACUUGCAAAGAAUCCUGAGUAAUAUCUGUGUUAUGCUCAGAUAGUGCAAUUGACCAUAUCCUUGUUUGUUGUACUUAGGGUGGCCCGCGCCGUGAUGUGAUGAUAGAUGUUGCAGGUAGUUUGGCCGAUCCAGAUGAAGGUAAUUGUUAAUGCCUAUUCUAUACGUAUUGUAAGCUGUGAAAGAAUUGUACAACCUUUUUUUUCUGCUAAUUAUAUGCUCUGGCACGGGGUGCAUUACUGUAAAAUCAUUUUUUUUUCAUGAUGUUUUCUUUUGCUGUCCUAGGCUUGGGAGUAGGGGAUAUACUGAAGCCUGAUUUGAUAAUGUCGUUGAUUGAGACAUUGCCGCUUGAAGAAGGAUUAACAUCUCACUUACCUGAGGUAUAUUAGCCUGAUUUGAUAAUGCUUAUUCUAUACGUACUGUAAGCUAUGAAAGAAUUGUACAACCUUUUUUUUUCUACUAAUUAUAUGUUUUCUUUUGUUGUCUUAUGUGUUGGGAUUUCCUAUGUGCUUUACAUUGGUGCAUUCUGAGGUAAAUAUGAGGUUGUAGGGUCACUAAACUCCAGAUGAUAUUUUAGACUUGUUGCAGAGUCUUCCUUUCCAUCAGCAAGUGGAUUCUUUUACAUAUGUAAGAAAUGCGACGCGGAUCCUUCUUGUUCUGUUUCUUGUCCUUUUGAUGAUAGCCAAUUUUACAAGGUUUAAUUCUUCUUUUUGUUUGAAGGUUCUCCGAACUGGACAAGUAGAUUUGUCUGAAUUUGGGAUCAACCCCACUAAAUGUGAGUGGUUUGUGGCUCCUGAACCUGUAGCUUAGAAAUGGUUCUUAAAUACAUGGUUUUCUCUUUAACAAAUCAUUUACUUAUGUUCAUCAGCAUUAACUAAAGUCUUUAGUUAAUUCUUUCUUGAGAAAUCCAAGUAUUCCAAGUUCUUGAGAUGAAGGAAGCUUGCCACAAUCAAGAAAUUAUAUUAAAAUAAAUUAAAAUUAUAAAGGAAAUAAAAGAGUUAGCAAGAAGCAACUAAUUGAAUGAAUAAUAAGGAUCUCAAUUGAGUUUAAAUUUGGAAUUUAAGUCUCUCUUAUUGAUCAAUUUGCUGUUGUAAGCAAAUUGCUAAUAAGUUCUGGCACUGGACAACAUGUGAUUCUGGUCAAUUAUUGGUUGGGUAGUGUACCUUUUAUGCUUUUCUUCUUUUAUCUUUUGAGGGUUUUUUUUUAAUUUAAUUGACUCUUAAUUAGUUUUUAUUUUUUAAUCUAAAUAUAAUAAUUUAAGGGAUAAAAAUCCCUCUAUAAUAUAAUACUGUUAUCGAAACAAUUAGAUUCUAAGUCAAAGAUCUCUAAAUUGUUCAAUUUCUGUAAUUCAUAACUACCUAUAUAAAAAAACCAAAUUAAGACUUCAUGUAAAAGAAUAAAAAAAAGAUAUUAUUACAGUAAUUUAAUUAUGAUUGAUCAAGAGAUAUAUAAUUGCUACGGUGACGCCACGUAAAGAGGUUGGGACGGUGAAAAUACAAGUAAGAGGACUUAUUGUUACGGUGAUUAAUAAUAUAAUAUAAGGAAUUAAACAACACCUUAUUACUAAAUAUGUUUUCUAUUUUCUUCGAUGGAGAACCAAAAUGUUACUAAUUUGAUUAAUUUUAAAAAAAAACUAAUAUAAAUAAUUUGUAAUACAAAAGCGAACCUUUCUUCUCAACCCAACCAGCUAUACGAUUGGGUUUUAAUCUGAAUAUCUUGAAAUUGAAACAAGGAAGGAAGAAACAAGGAGGUAUUUUUUUUAUAAUGCUUUUAAUCUGAAUAUCUUCUUUUAGAAAAAAAAAUGGUUUUAUUUUGUUUUGAAUUUUUGGGAUUUUAUAUUUUAUAAUUUGAUUUUUAUAUCAACUUUAAUUCUUAUUUAUUUUUCUCUUAUUUUUUUAAAUUAAAUAUUUUAAUUUAUUAUAUUUGAUUUUUUUUAAUCAAUAUUUAUUUUAUUUAAAAUAAUUUAUAAAAUUAUAAUUAUUUUUUUUAUUUUUUAUUUUUUUAUUUUUUUAUCUAUCAUGUGAAGCUAGCGUCCCUAUCCCUAUGUAUAAAAAAUGAUUUGAUGGUGCUUGGAUUGGGUGUAUGCCUACGUACUUAGUUUUCUGCACAGACCUUGAGCUUUAUUAGGGCAGAAAAUAAGCCGCCUGGCAUUAACCUUUUAUUCAUAUUUUUUUUUCAAAAAGACUCUGACUUGUAGUCAAUUUUUUAAUAUCUUGUUUGUUUUUGUAUUUUAAAAGUAUUAUUAAAAAAUUUAAAUUUUUUUUUAUAUUUUUUACUUUAAAUUAAUAUAUUUUUGAUAUUUUUAGAACAUUUUGAUAUGAUGAUGUUAAAAAUAAUUUUUAAAAAAUAAAAAAAUUUUAUUUUGGUGCAUUUUCAAGCGAAAAGAACUUUGAAAAGCAACCGCUACCACACUCUCAAACACUCCUCGAACGAAGAAAUACAAGUUUUCUGUUAUUUAUUUUAAGCUUUUUUUUUUCUCUCAGUGUCAGUUUUUAAAAGAAUUAGUUUUUAAAAGAAUUAGUUUUUAAAAUCUUAGUAAAUUAUACAAUUGGAUUUAUUUUGAUGUUUAUCACCCGUGUAUUAUAUAUUCAAUUCUUUAAUAGUUAGAAAAUACAAAGAGUUAGUGGCACUUACAAAGAGUAUUUGUAUCUUGUUUUUUCUAAUUAAAAACUUGAAUUGAUUUAUUUUUAAAAAAAAUUUGAAUACUUGCUCUUAUAAAUUUUUAUCAAUCAAAGUCUCUAUAUUAGUUUUGUUGCCAUAAUGCAAAUAACAUGAUUAAUAGUAUUUUAUUUUCAAUUUUUUUCAAGGCCUAAAUUUUCCACACGUAAUUUAGAAAGGAGCAAGUCUUGUAUAUCCGUCAUCGUCAUGUGUCUAGCAUUAACUGUAAACCCCCGUAAAUAAAAAUUAAUAAUAAUAAUAAAAAGAAAAAAAAACAACACAUAGGAUCGAAGUAAUGAUGUUUCGAUGAGUAAUAAAUAUUCGGUAGGAAAGAAAUGAAUAAAUAGUAGGAAUGACAAUAAAUAUGUCAUGUGAGAGAGAAUAAUCUCCAUAAAUAAAUUUAAAAGCAUUGUUGAAGUCGAAAAGAGAGUCAUGAUUUUUUAGUUUAAAACUUGUAAUGUUAGUGAAACCAGUGACGAGUUUCAAUGGAUAAAAGAAUAAGAAAAAAAACCAGAAGAUAUGUAAACCCCGGUCAAAACACGUAUUUUGACAAAUUAAUGAUAAAUGUGGUAAUAUUGAAUUUAUUGAGUAUAAAUUAAGGGGAAAUGUCACGAGGAUCUAAGUAAAUAAAUUAAUGCAUGAAAUUCAGAUUUUAGCGUAAUAGACAUUGAUUGUCUAGUUUUACGGUAUCGAUGAUAUAUCUCAAUCCGAUCGUUGGAUCGGGCUGAAAUUUUAUAAGGAAUCUCCAGAAAUAUUAUUUUAUAUUAGGUUCAAAUUUCGUGUCAAUCGGAGUUUGGGAAGGAUUUACGAGAGCACUGAAAAUCGGGUAAAUUGAAGAAGAUGACACAAGGGGCAUUAACAAGGGUAUUUUUGUAAUUUUAUCAAAACAAAUACUCUCCUCUCCUCUCUUUAAAAACAGAGCACGUCCUCUGCAAAUGGAAAAACAGGAGGGAGACCAUUUGUUUUGUCCCAUUUUCUUCAUUUGUAUAUCCAUCAUCGUCAUGUGUCUAGCAUUAACUUUUUAUUCAUGUUUUUUCCAAAAAAAAAAACUUGACUUGGGGUCAACGUUUUAAGAAGGAAUAUAAGUUUUGGUUAAUCAUGCAAUUCAUUUUUUUUCUGUACUCUAUGGUUUCGAUGAACAUGACUUUCUUAAGCUAGUUGUAGUAUAUAGAAAUUUCUUAUAACAUUUUAGAAAUAUAAUUCACAUCUCAAUUGAUAAAUUCACAAAUUAAUAUAAUAGGUUUUAAUAUUUAUUUUUAAUAUAUAUUUUGAAUUUAAUAUUAAUAGUUAUAGAGUUUAUUUAGUUAAUAAAAAUUGUUCCACUUUUGUUAUAUCACUUUCCUUUUAAAGGGGUUGUGUGCAGCCUUGCAAAUUAUUUUAAAGUUUAUUUAUUUUGAAUUUAAUAUAUAAUUUUUUUAAUAGAUAAACUUUAUUUUUGAAAAUAAAAAAAAUUAUUUUCAAAUAAUAUUUCCAAUAAAUGAACCCUGGCAUAUUAUUAUUAUUUUUUAUUUUAUUCAAUUAAUUUAUAAUAUGUAUCUAUUUUUAUUAUCGUUUGAUCGAAUUAAAAAAUUAUUUUAAUUAGAAAAUUUAGAAAACACAACUGUAAUAUCAUGUUUUGUGAAAUUAAAUAUUUUGAUUUAUAUUUGUCUAUUGAUUUUUCCAGUUUUUAUUUUGAGUCAUCAUUUAUGGUUUUUUUUCACUUAUUAAGACACAUAAUUCUUAAUUUAUUUAACUAUAUUGUGUAUAAAUUUUUUAAUUUUCACUUAAAAAUUUUUUAAAUAAAAAAUUUAUUGAAGAAAUCUAUAUAUAAUUUUUUUUAAUUAAAACAAUUUAACUUUUGGUGAAGCUGUGAUCAAAUAACUAAGUCUAUGUACUAAAAUGAGUGGCACUUAAAGGUUCACAUGUCUUAUCUUCCAAGCAAGAAGAGACAAUAAAAGUAGUAGGUGGUGUUCUUUUCUUCAGCUGUAAAUAGAUGAAGAGAUUAAUAUCAAAAACAUGGACAAAAAUUGAUGUGGACCCACACCACUUUGAUUAUUCUUCAUUUUCUUCGUUUUUCCUGUAUUUCACUACUUGAUGAUUCAAAAUUUAUCUAUUUAAAACAAUUUAAUUUUUUAAAAAUAUUUUUAAAAUACAAAAAUAAAAAGGUAUUAUUAUGUCAUAUUGCUAAAUUUAUUCUGACGUUAUUCACAAGAGAAUUAUAUAUUCAAUUUGUUAAGUGUUAGCAAUGCAAAAGAGACAAUGAGAAGUGCAAAUUAUUUGUAUUUUAUAAUUUUUUUUAUUUAAAAGCUUGCAUCAAUGUUUUUUUUUUCAAUUUGAAUACUUAUAUUCACAGAAUUUAAUCAAUAAAAUAUCUUCAUUAGUUUUAUUAUCAAAAUGAUGAUGUCAUAGUUAACUCUUUUUAGAUUAGUCUGGAUUGCUUUUAUUUUAUUUUUAAUGUAUGAACAAUAAAGAUAUAUAAAAUGCUUAUAAUUUAUAUUUUUUUUAUUCAAGUACUCUAAUUGAUUUUAUUUUUCUAUUUAAGUACUUGAUAAACUAAUGUUUUUCCAUAAAUUUGUUUACAUUGAUUUCUCUAAUAAAAGUAUAUAAAAAAAUUCAAUAAAACUAUAUUUUAUUAAUAGAUUUGAACUUAAGUGUUGUUACCUAUUUUUAGGACCCCACACAAAAAAGGAGAAAAUACAAAAAGUAAGAGUCGAAAAAAAUUAAAUAAAUAAUAAUAAAUAAAUAAAAAUAUAUGUCGCAGUGAGAAAAGCUGUUGGACAGCCCAAAAUGGCUAAAAAUUGGUUGAGAGGUUAAAAAAUACAAAGAUUGAAAUUUGACAGUAUAUCGUUGACUAAUGAGAGCCAUGUUGACAAAGAAAAUUCAUUUAAAAAAAAUAUAUCCAAAAUCAUAUGUUUAUGGACUAAAUUAAAUUUUAUUGAGGGUUUAAUUGAAUUUAUGGAGGGUUUGAUUGAAAGAAAAAUUGAGUUUUAUGUUGAUUUAGGCUUUUAUUGGAAGAAAUUAAAGUUCUAAGGUACAAUUAUAAUUUUGAAGAGUUGAUUAGGUCAAAUCAGGAGUUUAAUUGCAUAAUUAUUAAAGUUUUAUGGGCAAUUAGGGACUUGAUUGAAAAAAUACAAAACCAAGGACCAAAUCAAAAAAGACACGUAAAUAGAGAGGCUGCAAUUGACCAACUCAAGGGCUAAAUUGAAGAAAUUAGAAAUUUAUUGAUCAAUUGAGGGUCAAAUUGCAUGAAUCUAGAACCAAAGAUUGUCUUGUAAAUGGGGCUAAAAUCUAGGGAUCGAAUUACAAUUUAUGUGAGGGCUUAAUUACAAAAUUGCAAAAAAUCCAAUGACCAAAUCGAAAAUAUUCAUUUUGAAUUUUAAAACGGUACCGUUUCCUUGACAACUGUUCAUUACCUUCUUCAUCAACAACGGUUUCUACAGUAAAAGGCAGUGAAGAUGUUAGCGGUGGAGUUGCUUCAAUCAGGGGAGCAUGUCUCACAGCUGAUAUCCUUCUCCACCAUGAUGCACUCCGGCCGUUACAACCUUCCUGCAAUAAAUCCCGAAAAGCAUGCAUCCUCUCGCUAUAAAAAGCCAGAGGAGAGACGGACAGAAAAAAAAAGGAGACAAGGAGGGAGAGCCAGCAGGACAAGAGAGAAAGUGGGAUGUAGCACGAGAGGGAGACAGAAACGAGUAGAAGGAAAGAAUGUAAGCAGAGGAAAUCAUUGAGACUAGAACCAACGUUGCCAUCGUCUUCGUCAUUUCAAAAACCAGAGAUGAAGAAGAAGAAGAGUGCAAAUAAGAAUUGAACGAAAAGGAGAAUCAGAAACGAAAACAGUAGCAUAAGGAAAGAAAGAAACGUUGCCCGAUCAAAGCACUGAUCACCAUCAACUUUGUCUUCAUCUUCAGGCAGCAGCUCCAGGGGACGUUUGAGAGGACCAGAGAGGGAGAGAGAAUAAAACAGGGAACAAGAGGAAGAACAGAGCAGAAGAGAAAAAAAGUAGAAGGGAAACGCAGAGAAAGAAAGAAGAACCAACGGCCAGUCAGCACCACGGUCCGCAGCCACAACACUGUCCACCGCCACUGGCAGCACCGCUAGGCCGUAGGUCUGCUUCUUCCUCUUCCUCCUCUUCUUCUUAGUCUUCUCCAGGCCGCUCCACUGUUCACGUUGCAUGUGAACAGUAGAGAGUCUCUCCACUGUUUGUUUUAGUUUUUUGACCCAGACAACGCCUACCUAGUAAAAAAAAAUCAUUUUAAAAAAUCUGUGAUUUUCCCGCAUAUUUUUUUAUUGAAUUUUUCUUAGUAUUGAUUUGUAUUUUUAUAUCGUAAAGAUACAAAUUUGGAAUUAAAAUAUCCAAUUUUUGUCAAAACAUACUGUUCACGUUGCAUGUGAACAGUAGAGAGUCUCUCCACUGUUUGUUUUAGUUUUCUGACCCGGGCAACGCCUACCUAGUCAAAAAAAAAUAAAUUUCUUCAAAAAAAAUCAUUUAAAAAAAUCUGUGAUUUUCCCGCGUAUUUUUCUAUUGAAUUUUUCUUAGUAUUGAUUUGUAUUUUUAUACCGUAAAGAUACAAAUUUGGAAUUAAAAUACCCAAUUUUUUUCAAAACAUUGAAAAAUAAAAAAAAAACAUGUUUUUAUUUUCAUGCAUACGACCAAGUAUCUCAAAGAAAAAAAAUCAUAUCAUAUUUUCAUACAAAAAAAAUUCAAAAAUAUAUAUUAACAUGCAUUUUGGUUUUAAUAACUAGUUUAUUAAAGUCACGAGAACUAGGCCAAUAUUUCAAAAAAUCCAAAAAUAUUUUUUUUUCUUUUAGUAUUUGGGGUUACGACCUUAUACGUAAGAUGUAUUCCAGAUAUUAAAUUCUUUUGUUGACGUUAAAACAGUUAGGUUUUAUUCGAUAAGAUAAGGAUCUUCUUAUCGAGAAGGAUAUUAAAUUCUAACCAAUCAUUACUAAAUUGCUAUUGGUAUAACUAUCUCUUGCAAAUGGCAGCGAGGAGUUUAGGCUUCUAUGAAGCAAGGUUGUCAAUUCCAUUUUAAUUGGUGUUUUAUUUUUUUUAAUUGUAACAAUAUAUUUUUGUUUUUGAGUAUUUUGAUGUGUCAUUUUGGAUUGUUCUAUAUAUACUUUGGACUCAUCAAAUCGAAUGGGUCAUAUCGAUUUAACUCUUUAUUUUUACGUAUAUUUGAAAUUUAAAUUGUAUAAUUUCAAGUUAGUUUAUUUUUAAAUGUCAAUUAAAAUUAUGUUUGUUAAAAAUAUUGAGACAACGACAUAUUGGAUUGACUCGGAUUAAUCUAGGUUAAUCUUUUAAAUCCGUGACCCAGAUCAUGAGACCAUAAUAAUCCGAAAUAAAAACAAAUUAUGAAUCUCAAUUUUUAAUAAACCUAUUGUUGAAUUAUGAAAUUGAAAAAACAAAUCAAUCUAAAAAAAGACACAAAAAAUGACCUUACGAAACCAAAUUAUAAAUUUAAAUAAAAUUAUGAAAAUGUCAUCAGCAAUCUCACAAAGUCUUUCUAAACUCUAAUUGUUCUAAAAUUUUAAUUUGCGAUAUAAAUAUAUGUUAGGAGAUUCCUCAUAAAAUUUUAGUCUAAUUCAACAGUCGAAUUGAGAGAUAUAAUUAAUACCAUAAAACUAGACUAUAAUUUUUUUUAUAAAAGUAAAACAAUACAUUAUUUGAUCAUAAUAGAAUGGCUGGAAUAGAACCAAAAUAUUCCGGCAAGAAUUUAGGUGAAAUUCAUGAAAUAAGAUAAGAGUCUAAACGAGAUGAAAUAUCUUCUAAUUUAUUCCAUUGUUUAAAUUGAAAUAAAAUAUACUUGCCAUUAUAGAUGUGACAUAAUAAAAUUAAAAACCAUAGCGUUUUAGAGCCCCAAGCGUACGGCCCCAUCUCGUGGGAAAAAAUUGCAUGAUGACAAUGGUAUCACUGACCCAUCUCGUGGUGUAUAAUUUGUUGCAAUGUCUUGAUCUCCAUCAAAAUCCUUUUUGUUUUGAAAAGGACUUUAUAUAUAUUAGUUUUGAAGUUUUGAGAUAUAAGUUCAUAGCUCUUAAAGACAAGAAAUAUACCAAAAGAUUUAAAACUAUUUUAUACUUCAUUAAAAUAAAUAAAUAAAUUACUUAUAUGGUUACAAUAUUUUUUUCUUAUGAGAAUAAAUUGAUUUCAUGUGUUAAUAACAUUUAAGGAUUUCUUCCAAUCAAAUAAUCAAAUUUAUUUUAAUUAAAAAGUUUCCAAUCAAUAACAACAUUCCCAAUUGAACCAAAGUAUUUCCACGAACCCAUCUCGUGGAAAAAAUGCAUGAUAGCAACGGUCUCAGGGACCAAUGUGCAAAUGGAAAUGGUCUCACGAACUCAUAAAUGCUUACGGGGCAAUGGUCUUAUAGACCAUCUCAUUGGCGUGGAAAAAAUUGCAGAUGGCAAAAGUCUCACAAACCCAUCUCACACUGCAAAUUCCCAUCCAUUUUACGUGUUGGUUGUGUUACAAAAAGAAAACUCUUUAGAAAGAAAAAGAAGAAGAUUUAUUGUCAUGACAAUGACAAGAAGUAAUUUAGAAAUAAUUCAAUCUAAAAAAGAAAUAAAAAAUGACAUUUCGUAACAAAAUUAUAAAUUUGAAUAAAAUUAUGAAAAUAUCAUCGAUAAUUUCACAAAGUUUUUCUAAACUCUGAUUGCCUUAAAAUUUUAAUUUGCGAUAUAAAUAUAUGUUAGGAGAUUUCUCGUAAAAUUUUAGUCCAAUCCAACAGUCGAAUUGAGAGAUAUGAUUGAUACCAUAAAAUUAGACUAUAUUUUUUUUAUAAAAGCAAAACAAAAUAUUAUUUGAUCAUAAUAAAAUGGCUGGAAUAUAAUCAAAAUAUUCUAGUUAUAAUUUAGGUGAAAUUCAUAAAACAAAAUAAAAUUUUAAAAAUGAAAUAUCUUCUAAUUUAUUCUAUUUUUUAAAUUGAAAUAAAAUAUACUUGUUAUUCUAGAUGUGAUAUAAUAAAAUUAAAAACAAUAUCUUUUAGAGCCCCAAGCAUACGGCCCGAUCUCGUGGAAAAAAUUGAAUGAUGACAAUGGUAUCACGAGGAUAAUUUGUUUCAAUGUCCUCUCCAUCAAAAUCCUUUUUGUUUUGAAAAGUUGUAUAUAUAUAUAUAUAUAUCAUCCAUGGCCGUCUUCGAGAAAUCACAUGAGAAACGCACAGUUUCGUUGAUUAAUCAAACAAUUAAUUAAUAAAUAAAUAGUAAAAUGGUAAGACCAAGACUUGUGACUAUGACUGGCAAUGACAGGUUUGGCCCUUCACAUGACAGGAUAAAUAGAAAGCUUGUUGACCAGUAAUCAAAUGCAAACACACCACUCAAAAUGGCAACGACAUUUUCCCUUUUCUAUGCGCACUGCCAAACAGUCCCUUUACAUGUCAUUUUCACCAUCCCUCUCUUUUCCACGUGCUUUUCAGGAUUCAAAAUACGUGUUUAGGAAUAUUGAUGAAAAAUUAAAUAUAACCAGAAAACAAAUACAGUAAAGCAUUCCCAAUUAAACCAAAGUAUUUCCACGAACCCAUCUUGUGGAAAAAAUGCAUGAUGGUUGGAAGAGGAUGUCUCACAGCCUCUCCUCGAGAAAAAAUGCAUGAUGGCAAAGGUCUCAGGACCAAUGUGCAGAUGGAAAUGUUCUUAUGGACCCAUCAUUGCACACCCAAGAGAAUGCUUUUUUUUUUUUAUUAUUAUUAUUAUUAUCUUUCUUUCAAAAGAUAAGGUAAUUGGCUGUCGUGUGAUUUUUACAUGGCUUGUGUGUUUUGACUUUUAGCAUUCUUUUAGAUUCUUUUUGUUUCAACCCUCUAUCAAUUCAAUUGAAGCUUAUGAAGAACCCCAAUUGUUAGUGUUUUGACUUUUAGCAUUCUUUUAGAUUGGCUUGUGGUGUUCCUCCAAGAUUCUGCAUAAGGAAAUCACAAGGAUAUCACUGCAUGGUUGUGUUUAAAAAUCAAAAUGGCACACAGCAAGUCAAGCAUCCGUGUUCACGACCUUUCUUGGCAAUAUCCAUUGUCUCAUCAAUUACUUAAGAUUUGUGGAAGAUAUGAUACAAGAGAUAAGAAAAUAAUUGCUAUUAUCCACAAUUUCUCUGUUAUAUAUAUAUAUAUAUAUAUUAGACGGAGUUCCCAUUAGAUAAUCAAUAAUGUAUAUAUUAUUCUUGGAGAAGUAACUCAUUAGAUAAUCAAUAAAGUUUUUUUUUGUUCAUUUACCACUAGUUUACACUUCAAUCAAAAACUAAAUUUGCUUUUACUACUAUUUUAAUUUUUAAAAAAUAUUUUAUAUUGUUUUAUAUUGUUUAAUGCAUUAAUUUCAAGAAAUAAAUUCCUUUUAUCCUAAAAUCUGGACUUGAAAAACCAGAUUUAUUUUAUAAUUAGGGAGAAAACUAGAAAAUUGACUAGUCUUCUCAUUCUAAUAAUAUAAAUGGUAUGUCUUUGACUCAAUUGAAAAAAAAAUAUUUAAUAUUGAAAUGUAAUAAAAACAAGUCAAGAAUACCUUUCCGAACAUAAAAACAAAAGUGUGUGUAUAAAUGUUAUGUAUUUGAAGUUUUUGUGUAUAAUAUUAUAGCCACACAAUCCACAGGGAUAAGAUUUAUAAUUAUUCCGUGUUUAUUAUUAUUGAUAAUUUAUACAUUUAAUUAUAUACAUGAUAGUGAGAUGACACCAUGCAAGUAGGCUCCUAAAUGAUUCUAAAUUAUAACGAGAAAAGUACAAUUAUAAAGUUAAAAAGAUCUUACGCGGAAUCACAUUUAAUUAUAAUUCGCAUCCGAGUAAAUACCUUCACAAAUUAAUAUAAUAGGUUUUAAUAUUUAUAAAAUGAAAGAUAUUAAGAGUUGAUUAAUAUUGUUAAGCCAUAUAUGUUUAUAAAAGUCAUUUCUUUUUAAACCACAUGAUAUGUUUACAUAUUUGCAAUAUGUACAUAUUUUGAAUUUAAUAUUAGUAAUUAUAAAAUUUAUAUAAUUAAUAAAAACUGCUCCACUUUUGUUCUCUUCUCUUUCUUCCAUUAUUGUUUUUUUUUUCUUUUGAACUGCCUAGUCUCUCUUUCUUUUCUGUUUUCCAUCUUUCAAUCCUUCAAUAUUCAAAAUACAUAGCACGUUAGGAAUAUUAAUGAAAAAUUAAAUAUAACUAGAAAACAAAUACAAAAAAAAUGAUAUUCUUGUAGAAAUAAUAUCAUUAAUUUGUGGUUCAUUUUAUCAACGAUACUCUUUGAUUUUGCCAUCACCAUCAAAAUUAAGACAUUAUUUUAAUAUAAUACAAGUUUUUGGUUGAUUACUUUUAUGCAAUUCAAUUUUUUUUUCUAUAAUGUGGUUUUAAUCAGUGUUAUUAAAUUUAAUUUAAGCCUAACAACGUUAUUAAAUCAUGAAGUAUUGCAACAAUUUGUUUAUUUUUUUUAUAAAUUGGAUAAUUAGAAACCAAAAUAUAAUUAAAUGCAAAUAGGCUAAGUGCUAAACAAUAAAAUAAAAUAAUAUUCAAAUCCAAGAAUAUUCCAACCCUAAAUUAUGACGAGAGAAGUACAAUCAUAAAGUUAAAAAGAUUUUACACGGAAUCACACACGAAUGUCGAUAACAAUGUUGAAGUACUGCAACAAUAUUAUAUAUAUAUAUAUAUAUAUAUAUAUAUAUAUAUAUAUAUAUAUAUAUAUAUAUAUGAAAAAAAUGAAGUUGCAAUUGCUAAAAAUUUAAAAAUCUUAUAAAUAAAUCAACUAAAAAUUAAUCUCAUAUGAAAAAAAAAAUCUCACAACAACAUUUAUACAAUUAUUAAGAACAAAAACAAUUAAAAAUAAAAUAAAAAACAAAUAUAGUGAAAAAAAUCAUGAAAAAAGAAGGAAAAAAUUACCUUAAUUUAGUUGCAAGUGAAGCUAAGGAGAGAAAAAAAAAUUUCGUAAAGCAUAUUAAUUAAAAAUAAACUAAGAGGAUAAAAGAAGAAAGAAGAAGAAGACAUACCCGAGCAUGGAGGAAAAGAGAAGGAGAUGAGGAGAGAAAAGAAGAGAAAGAAAUAGAUAUUGAUGUUUUUUUACAUAUAAUGAAGAAGUAGAAGAAGAAGAAAAAGAAGUAGAAGAAGAAUAAUAAGAAAUGAGUCUGUCUCUUGUGAAAUAAGAGAACUCAAGCUUUUUAUUGGGACGCGUUAGCGACGGAUUUACCGACGGAUAAUUGAAUAUUAAUAUUUUUUAAUUAUUCCAUCGGUAAUUCCAUCGGUAAUAUUUAAUUUCAAUUUUCAAUUUUGUAAAAAGUUUUCAGAAACUGCCAACAAUUACCGAUGAUUUUUCAAUCCGUCAAUGAUUCCGUCUGUAAUAUUUAAAUGAAAAUUUUAAAUCAAUUGAAUUUUUUCAGAAAACCGUCAAAUAACACCGAUGACUUUUCAAUCCGUCGGUGAUUUUGUCCGUAAAGAACAACAAUUAACAGUGCAAUUGGAAAGUGAACAGUUAUGGAGCUCUACGGAAAAUUCCGUCGGUGAUUCCCUUUGUAAUUAACAUGAUGAACAGUGUUCACAAUUUACCAACGGAUUUACCGACGGAUUUUAUUCCGUCGGUAAUUCCGUUGGUAAAAAUGACACAUCAUUGUUUUUUUUUGCUUUAUUUUAAUUUUUUUUCCCACUGUAAUUCCCUCGGUAUAUACCGAGGGAAUAUUUUCGUCGGUAAAAUCUCUCGAAAAUUUAUCGACGGAAAUAUUUCCUUGGUAUUUCUGUUUGUAUUUAUCGAUUUUCUGGUAGUUUACUGCAACAAUUUUUUUAUUUUAUUUUUUUAUAAAUUGGAUAAUUAGUAACCAAAAUAUAAUUAAAUGCAAAUAGACUAAGUGCUAAACAAUAAAAUAAAAUAAUAUUCAAAUCCAAGAAUAUUCCAAAAAGAAUUAAAAUAAUAUUCAAAUCUCAAAACAUGGAACCCUAAAUUAUGACAAGAGAAGUACAAUUAUAAAUUCAAAAAAAUCUUACACGGAAUCACACACGAAUAUCGAUAAUAAUGUUGAAGUACUACAACAAUUAUUUUAUUUUAUUUUAUUUAUAUAAAUUGGAUAAUUAUUAACCAAAAUAUAAUUUAAUGCAAAUAGACUAAGUGCUAAACAAUAAAUUAAAAUAAUAUUCAAAUCCUAGAAUAUUCCAAAAAGAAAUAAAAUAAUAUUCAAAUCUCAAAACAUGAAACCCUAAAUUAUUACGAGAGAGAAGUAUAAUUAUAAAAUCAUGAAAAAAAUCUUACGAAUGUCCACAAUAUUUUUUUUUUAAAAUUGGAUAAUUAGUAACCAAAAUAUAAUUAAAUACAAAUAGACUAAAGGCCGAACUGAACAAUAAAAUGAAGGCCGAACUGCACAAGAUAAUAUUCAAAUCUAUAUUAUCGACAAAUACACCAUAAAGGCCGAAGUGUCAGGCUUUCGCACUUCUAGGUUAAUUCCGUUGGAUCAUGUUGAAUUGUCAACAAUGGUGCGAGGUACUCUAGGAUGCUUAGACCCUGAGUACUUGCACACAAGCCAACUGACGGACAAAAGUGAUGUUUACAGUUAUGGAGUGGUUCUUGUGGAACUACUAACUGGGAUGAAGGCAAUUUCCUUCGAUAAGCCCGAGGGCCUUUAAGUGCUAAACAAUAAAAUAAAAUAAUAUUCAAAUGCAAGAAUAUUCCAAAAAAAAAAAAUUCAAAUCCAAGAAUAUUCCAAAAAGAAAUAAAAUAAUAUUCAAAUCUCCAAACAUGGAACCUGCACAAGAUAUGCAGAUAAAGUCAAGGAAAUUAAAUGGCCAAAGUGUAGUAUAAAUAGGACCUCUAUGGUUGCCCAAAGGCACAUAACAAACAACAAUAUUCUACGUAGUACGUAGUUCAUAGAAUUAUCUAAGAUGAUGAUGAAAAGAAUGGGGACUUGGAUGUUGCUAGCAUUAUUGACUUUGGUUGGCGAAUGGCAUGGUCGUUGUUAUGGGUGUUUGGAGGAAGAAAGGGUUGGUCUCUUGGAGAUCCAAUAUUUGAUCGACCCAAAUCACGUUUCCUUGAGAGAUUGGAUGGACAUCAAUAGUAGUUGUUGUGAGUGGGAUUGGAUCAAGUGUGAUAACACUACAAGGCGAGUGAUCCAACUCUCUCUUGGCGGAGAAAGGGAUGAGAGCUUGGGCGAUUGGGUUCUCAACGCAUCUUUGUUUCAGCCUUUUAAAGAAUUGCAAAGUCUUGAUUUGGGAAUGACUAGUUUGGUUGGUUGCUUGGAGAAUGAAGGUUAGUUCAAUGUUUCUGCACUUAAAUAUAAUAAUAAAAUAAAUCAAGGUUGGUUGGUGUUUAAUGUCAAUUAUCUUGCUUUGAUGAUUCUCUUCCAGGCUUCGAAGUCCUAUCAUCAAAACUGAGGAAUCUUGACCUAAGUGCUAACGGAUUUAAUAAUGAUAAAAGCAUUUUGUCAUGUUUCAAUGGUAACCUUUCCACUCUCAAGUCUUUGGAUCUAUCAGCCAAUGGGUUGACAGCUGGAUCAGGUAGCUUCUAUGGUAACCUUUUAAUUAUUUAGCUUCGAAACCUUUUCUUAAUUUUAAGUUUUUUUUAUCUUGUUUUGUAAGUCUAUCAUAACUUAGCUUCCAUCUUUAAUUAAAUAUGCGUUCUUUGAAGUGUAUCAUUCUUUUUAUGUAUAAUUUGAGAAUCAUAUAUCAAUUGAACAACAGCAUCUCAUCAUUUCUAAUUAUCUUUAGUUUCUAUCUAUUAUGCAUAUCGUGAGCUCAUCAUGACUUACUCUUAGAAACAACUCUCUUGCAGGUUUUGAGAUCAUAUCAUCAAGAUCAAGAUCACACUUAGUUUCACUACUUACUUGAUUGCCUGUUUUCAAUUCUACACAUCAUAGGUUUAAGGAAGCUGGAAUUCCUGCAGUCAUUGCCAUCCCUGAAGACCCUAUCUCUCAAGUAUACUGAUUUAAGUCAAGGUUAAUCAUAGUUUAGUUUCUUAAAAUCUUAAUUAAUAAUAUUGAAUGGAAUGACUAUUCUGUACCACCACUAUUUUCAUCAUAUCUUUUUUCUUCUUCUUUCUUUUUAACAGGGACUUUCUUCAAUUCGAGCACCCUUGAAGAAUUGUAUCUAGAUAAUACUUCUCUCCGAAUAAACUUUCUCCAGAACAUUGGAGCAUUGCCUGCUCUUAAAGUUUUGUCUGUUGCUGAAUGUGACCUCCAUGGCACCCUACCCGCUCAAGGUAAAUUAACAACUCUCCAUCCGCCUAUAAUUACAUCAUCAAUAAAAGAUUCUUUCAACAUUGUUUUGACUGUUUCAAGAUAAAUUAAACAGGUUGGUGUGAAUUGAAGAAUCUGAAGCAAUUAGAUCUCGCUAGAAAUAAUUUUGGAGGUUCACUCCCAGAUUGUUUGGGGAACUUGUCAUCUCUACAACUAUUAGAUGUUUCUGAAAACCAAUUUACUGGAAAUUUUACGUCUGGUCCCCUUACCAACCUCAUAUCCCUUGAAUUCCUCUUACUAUCAAAUAACCUCUUUGAAGUUCCCAUUUCAAUGAAGCCUUUUUUGAACCACUCAAGCCUCAAGUUCUUCUCUAGUGAGAACAACAGACUAGUAACAGAACCUGUUGCCUUUGAUAAUUUGAUUCCAAAGUUCCAACUAGUCUUUUUCCGUUUGUCAAGUAGUCCAACAUCGGAAGCACUCAAUGUAAUUCCCGACUUCCUCUAUUACCAAUUGGACUUAAGAGCCCUUGAUCUCUCCCACAACAACAUCACCGGAAUGUUUCCAUCGUGGUUGCUUAAGAACAAUACACGAUUGGAGCAACUAUAUCUGAGCGCCAACUUCUUUGUUGGUACUUUACAGUUGCAAGAUCACCCAUAUUCGAAUAUGGUCGAAUUAGAUAUUUCCAACAACAACAUGAGCGGUCAAAUUUCAAAAGAUAUUUGUUUAAUCUUUCCAAAUCUAUGGACCUUAAGGAUGGCUAAGAAUGGAUUCACAGGUUGUAUUCCUUCUUGUUUAGGAAAUAUUAGCUCUCUUUUAUUUUUAGAUUUAUCCAACAAUCAAUUGUCUACAGUACAACUAGAACAACUAACAAUACCGGUUCUCAAGCUGUCAAACAACAGUUUGGGUGGGCAAAUACCGACCUCGGUGUUCAAUUCUUCUACCUCACAAUUUCUCUACCUAAAUGGUAACAACUUUUCGGGUCAGAUAUCAGAUUUUCCAUUAUAUGGGUGGAAAGAAUUGAAUGUAUUGGAUUUGAGUAACAAUCAAUUUUCAGGCAUGCUUCCGAGGAUCUUUGUUAAUUUUACGGACCUUAGAGUACUUGAUUUGUCCAAAAACCAUUAUAAGGGUCCGAUCCCAAAAGACUUUUGUAAGCUUGGCCGGCUUCAAUAUUUGGACCUUUCUGAGAACAACUUGUCUGGAUAUAUACCAUCUUGUUUCAGUCCACCACCUCUAACCCAUGUGCAUCUAUCCAAAAAUAGAUUGAGCGGUCCAUUAACAUAUGGAUUUUUUAACAGCUCUUACCUGGUUACGAUGGAUCUUAGAGACAACAGCCUCACCGGCUCUAUUCCAAAUUGGAUUGGCAAUCAUUCAUCAUUGAGUGUUCUUCUUCUGAGGGCUAAUCACUUUGAUGGUGAGCUCCCUGUUCAGUUAUGUUUGUUAGAACAAUUAAGCAUUUUGGAUGUUUCACAAAACCAGCUCUCUGGUCCACUACCCUCCUGUUUGGGCAAUCUUACUUUCAAGGAAAGUUCCCAGAAAGCAAGAAUGGAUCUCGGAGCUAGUAUUGUAUUAGAGUCCAUGGAAAAAGCUUAUUAUAAAACAAUGGGUCCACCACUAGUGGAUAGUGUGUACUUAUUGGGAAAGGAUUUUCGGCUUAACUUUACAGAAGAAGUGAUAGAAUUUAGAACUAAAAAUAUGUAUUAUGGGUACAAGGGGAAUAUUCUCAGCUACAUGUCUGGUAUUGAUCUCUCCAAUAACAACUUUGGAGGAGCAAUCCCACAAGAAUUUGGAAACUUAAGUGAGAUACGGUCAUUAAACUUAUCACACAACAAUCCCACUGAAUCUAUCCCUGCAACAUUCUCAAACCUAAAGCAGAUUGAGAGUUUGGAUCUUUCUUACAACAACUUGAAUGGUGUCAUCCCUCCACAACUUACUGAAAUUACCACAUUGGAAGUUUUUAGUGUGGCGCACAAUAACUUAUCAGGUUGGACACCCGAGAGAAAAUAUCAGUUUGGGACCUUUGAUGAAAGCUGUUAUGAAGGAAAUCCUUUCUUGUGUGGACCUCCAUUGCGAAAUAAUUGUAGUGUGGAACCAGUGUCGUCACAGCCAGUGCCUGAUGAUGAACAAGGAGAUGUUGGUUUCAUAGACAUGGAGUUUUUCUACAUCAGUUUCGGUGUAUGUUACACAGUUGUGGUGAUGACAAUUGCAGCAGUUCUCUACAUCAAUCCAUAUUGGCGACGCAGGUGGUUGUACUUCAUCGAAGACUGCAUAGAUACUUGCUACUAUUUUAUGGUGGCUAGUUUUCGCAAGUUCUCCAACUUCAGAAGGUGAAUUUGUUACUAGGGAGAUAAUCGUUUCUAGUUUGUCAUGAUUGUUUGUUUAGCUAUUGGGUGCUUAAUUUUGUAGUGUAUUGUCUCUACAUCAAAUAUAUAAGUGGGACUUCUCAUUCCUGAACUAUUAGGAAGGGAACUGAUUUGGAUUGGUCAUUGACUCAGCUGUGAUUACUCUUUCAACUCUCAAGACUUGUCUGAAAAUAAAUUGCCAGAACCACUACUAAGUAGAAACAAAAUAUUCUAUGCAUGUGAGCAACACUUACAUCUGCCAAUGUUUCAAGGGCGACCCCACCUUAGUUAUUCAAUCAAAGCAUUGAAAUUGGAGCAAGAAGAUCCACCUCAGUUAUUCAAUCAAAGCUUGGAGUGGUCGCUGAUUAAGGCUACCUGUCAAAACGCUGAAGAUUUGCCCGCAGCAUGUAGGAAUCAAACCAAAACCCCUUUUAAGAAAAUUUAAUCUGCCUGUCGAAACGCUAAAGAUUUGCCCGCAGCUUGUAGGAAUUAAACCAAGCCCCUUUUGAGAAAAUUUAAUCCCUGUCGAAACACUGAAGAUUUGCACUCAUAAAAAUCUGCCUUGUGUUUUGAAGAAACACCUCCCUUCUGUUUCCUCAACAUUUCAGGUAAUGUUUGAUGUUUGAUGCUCCAGGCAGGAAAAAGGACAAAAUUCUAGAAGAGAUGAUUCAACAUGACAAGCUCAAAUAUUUUGGCUUAAUAUUUUGCUUGGAUUUGUAGUAAAUCCUGUGAAAUUUUUGCUACAAUAUCAUUCUCUCUUCCCCCUUUGCUUUUCUUAAAAUCUCUCGUCCCACAUCAUCAUAAUUGGUUGUGACAUAGAAACCCCAGAUAAAGAUGAAAGAGAACCAUGCUGCAAGCUUGACAUAUUGUUCUGCUGCAUUGUUGGUAUAGAACCUUGCACAUUCAUUGAUGGCAACUGGGUAUUCAGUUGAUUUUCAUGGGACUGCAAUUGAGGAACUGGAGACUGGGAUUGCUGCAUAGGUUGCACAUGAGGCUGGGGAAGUUGUCCUAGCUGUAGAUUAGGAAUUGGCUUCCUGAAUCUGCUUGGGUUCAGAAAACUUACAAUAUGCUUCUCAUUGGAACCCAAUUUCUCCUUGAAACUAGGUGUGAUGUUGUUUUUAGAGACCUGUAAGAAUGUUAUCAAGCGCUCCAACAUGGCCUUGAAUACCUCCAGCUUUUCAAGCUGUUCUGACUUCGGUUGUUGCGGAUGAGAGUCAUGCUG